rnacentral:rRNA from 1 species
AGCGAACGCUGGCGGCAGGCCUAACACAUGCAAGUCGAACGAAGUCUUCGGACUUAGUCGCGGACGGGUGAGUAACACGUGGGAACGUGCCUUUAGGUUCGGAAUAACUCAGGGAAACUUGUGCUAAUACCGAAUGUGCCCUUCGGGGGAAAGAUUUGUCGCCUUUAGAGCGGCCCGCGUCUGAUUCGCUAGUUGGUGAGGUAAAGGCUCACCAAGGCGACGAUCAGUAGCUGGUCUGAGAGGAUGAUCAGCCACAUUGGGACUGAGACACGGCCCAAACUCCUACGGGAGGCAGCAGUGGGGAAUCUUGCGCAAUGGGCGAAAGCCUGACGCAGCCAUGCCGCGUGAAUGAUGAAGGUCUUAGGAUUGUAAAUUCUUUCACCGGGGACGAUAAUGACGGUACCCGGAGAAGAAGCCCCGGCUAACUUCGUGCCAGCCGCCGCGGUAA